GCCUGGCUAGCUCAGUCGGUAGAGCAUGAGACUCUCUCAGGGUCGUGGGUUCGAGCCCCACGUUGGGCG
rnacentral:tRNA from 1 species